rnacentral:lncRNA from 1 species
UUGACCUCAAAGUAAAGAGAUAACUUUUGUUUACAAUUUUGUGUCGGGAGCAUGAUCUGUUUGCCCUUUGACAAAAUCUUUUGAUAUUAGGAACAUGUGUGCAGCACCUCAAGACAAUCUGUUGUGUUCCAAGGACCAUCAUCCCCAAAUUUAUCCAAACCUUCCUUUUGGGGUAUUGAACCAUGUGAACCUUAUAACAAAAUUUCAUAGAAAUCCAUUAAUUUAAACUAAAGUUAUUGUCCGGAAACCAAUGUGUCUUCAGACAACAAUGACGACAUCAU